rnacentral:rRNA from 1 species
AGGGUGUAAACGCUGCGGGCUUGGUGUUGGGGUCCUUUGAGGGCGCCCAGUGCCGGAGAGAAGUUGUUAAGCCUGCUGCUUGGGGAGUACGUCCGCAAGGAUGAAACUUAAAGGAAUUGGCGGGGGAGGCACCGCAACGGGAGGAGCGUGCGGUUCAAUUGGAUUCAACGCCGGACAACUCACCAGGGGCGGACAGCAGAAUGAUGGCCAGGUUGAUGACCUUGCUUGACAAGCUGAGAGGUGGUGCAUGGCGUAGUCGUGU